AGGUAUCAAGCUGACCUCUUGUAAAACAGCAAAUUAUGUGCCCAAAUUAUUUCUCCUUUUACAGGUACUUGGAGUUUUUUCUCUGGUUGGAUGGACCUCAUGACAGUUUGAAAAACCACUAUUAUUGGGAGAAAAGAGGAAACUCCUAUCAGCUGAAGAUGUGGAGUAAUGUAAAGCAGGAGGAUGUAUGUUCCAGGAAACAAUUACCCUGGCUCUUUGCAGAGAAAAAAGAAGAAAGGGAGUAA
rnacentral:lncRNA from 1 species